GACGAACGCUGGCGGCGUGCUUAACACAUGCAAGUCGAACGGUAAGGCCCUUCGGGGUACACGAGUGGCGAACGGGUGAGUAACACGUGGGUGAUCUGCCCUGCACUUCGGGAUAAGCUUGGGAAACUGGGUCUAAUACCGGAUAGGACCACUGCCUGCAUGGGUGGUGGUGGAAAGCUUUUGCGGUGUGGGAUGGGCCCGCGGCCUAUCAGCUUGUUGGUGGGGUGAUGGCCUACCAAGGCGACGACGGGUAGCCGGCCGGGGAGGGUGACCGGCCACACUGGGACUGGGAUACGGCACAGACGCCUACGGGAGGCAGCAGUGGGGAAUAUUGCACAAUGGGCGCAAGCCUGAUGCAGCGACGCCGCGUGAGGGAUGACGGCCUUCGGGUUGUAAACCUCUUUCAGCACCGACGAAGCGCAAGUGACGGUAGGUGCAGAAGAAGGACCGGCCAACUACGUGCCAGCCGCCGCCGUAA
rnacentral:rRNA from 1 species